rnacentral:lncRNA from 1 species
GCAUUAUAUUUUUUCUUAAUAACAUCGCUAGUAUUGCUAAAGAGUGUUACUAUCAAAAUAAAAAUAUAGUUAAAGAAGUAGCACCAACGUAAUCCAACAAUCAUCUCAGCAUCUAUCUUAACAUAACAAACCGUGGUCGGCUUUCAAGAGUCUAAUUAUAGUAGAAAAUUCAUUUACACAUCUACAAAAAGUGACAAUAUUAGUAUUACAUACUUCCAUGCCAUUAUAUCAUCCUACAAUUACAUAAAAAAAAAGUUAUAUUACUUCACCGCCACAGGAAUCACACAUACAAAAAUUGACAGCCUACAAUUACAUACAAAGGGUGAUAUUAGUUGAAAAAAUUCUCUAACUAAAAAGAUAAAUAAUAGCAAAGACGCCACCAUAAUCAAGCUGAAACAACCACAAUGCUAAAAGCUUCCAGAGCAAACCAAUAAUAAAGAUGAAACAGAUUUAAAUCAAUUGUAGCAAAAUUGAAUCGAGUGAAACAGUUGCUAAUAUUUUUCAUGCUUCUUGCUGCAUUUUUUUGUUUUUUGUUCUUUGUUCUUCUUGACUUAAAAACACUAACAUCGUGAAUGUGGGUGUUAUCAUUUAAGAUUUUAAAAUUAUAGAAGUGAUAUCUAUUGGAAUCAAAGAGAGAAGUGAAAAGGAUAGUAAUGUUAAAAAUAAUUGUUAAACUCAACCUGAAAGAAAUAAUUUUAAAGUUGGAGAAGGGAAAUUCUAAUCUCGCACAAGCUAAAAAUCCCAGAUCUAAAAUACCCUAUACUUUUCAAAUACUAAUCAUUUGAACACAUAAAAAAAUUGGGGAUGUUUCAGAGUGGAUGAAUAAAGUAGUUCAAGUAAAGGAGAAAAUUGGGAUCUUACUUUCUGAGCUUUUCUUGUUAAUUUGUAAAUCGAAUCAGGUUUUCUUGGUUGCCUUUUUAGAUUUUGCUUGUAAAUUCCCUUUUUCCCUUUUUGGAAAUCAAAGGAACUACCAUAAUAAGCAAGUAAACUAAACAAAGAGAAAGAAAUCAAGACAUACACAAACCUCCGAAGUUGGAUGAUAAAGAGAUUUACAGCCUCCAAACUAAGACUAGAGUAGAAUGAGGUCAGUGGGUUUGAGAUUUUCUAGUUAGGGAAGAAGCUCGGGAAUAAUUUAUUUUUUCUCUAUUCGUUAGAGCGUUGAAUUGAGAUUCAGAAGGGGGACCAAGGAAAUAGAGUGUUAAACAGCCCCACCCAUAAUCCAUAAUUCAUCCAAACCAAACCUUUGUUUUGGAGUAUUUUACUGUAGAAAUCGAAAUCGGACCUGAAUGGAAUAGUCAUUCACACUUUUAAUCAGCAUUUGGGUUGAAG